rnacentral:rRNA from 1 species
UACGUAGGGGGGCAAGCGUUUGUCCGGAUUUAUUGGGCGUAAAGAGCGUGUAGGCGGCCUUACAGGUCAGCUGUGAAAACUCGAGGCUCAACCUCGAGACGUCGGUUGAAACCGUAAGGCUAGAGUCCGGAAGAGGAGAGUGGAAUUCCCGGUGUAGCGGUGAAAUGCGCAGAUAUCGGGAAGAACACCCGUGGCGAAGGCGGCUCUCUGGGACGGUACUGACGCUGAGACGGCGAAAAGCGUGGGGAGCGAACAGG